GAAAGAUGAAAAGAACUUUGAAAAGAGAGUUAAACAGUACGUGAAAUUGUUGAAAGGGAAACGAUUGAAGUCAGUCGUACCAGCGGGAAAUCAACCUUUCGAGUGGGGAUUUUGGAGUUUUGAAGAGUGUCAAAACCUUCUGAGGAUUUCAAAAUGUUCGCUCUUUUGGUGUACUUUCUCGCAGGUAGGUUAACAUCGAUUUUGAUCAUCAUAAAAGGAUUGGAGGAAUGUAGCUUCGAUCUCGUAUUGAAGUGUUAUA
rnacentral:rRNA from 1 species